rnacentral:rRNA from 1 species
UACGUAGGGUGCGAGCGUUAAUCGGAAUUACUGGGCGUAAAGCGUGCGCAGGCGGUUCGUUGUGUCGGCGGUGAAAGCCCCGGGCUUAACCUGGGAAUGGCCGUUGAAACUGGCGAACUGGAGUGUGGCAGAGGGGGGUGGAAUUCCGCGUGUAGCAGUGAAAUGCGUAGAGAUGCGGAGGAACACCGGAUGGCGAAGGCAGCCCCCUGGGCCACUACUGACGCUGAGAAGCGAAAGCAUGGGGAGCGAACAGG